AUUAUGCUUGAACGGAAGUUCACCUCUAGAUACCACGUAUACAGCACAGUCCAGCGACUUCGGACGAAACCAUCGAUGAAGAAGCGUAGGCCAGAAAAGGCGAGCAUGCAUGAAUAUGGCGUGCCAUUUGUGUCAAAAUUAGACAAUGAGAUGAGGCGAUGAGACAAUGAGAUGAGGCGAUGAGACAAUGAGAUGAGGCGAUGAGAUCAUGAGAUGAGGCGAUGAGACGAUGAGAUGAGGCGAUGAGACGAUGAGAUGAGGCGAUGAGAUCAUGAGAUGAGACAAUGAGAUGAUGCGAUGAGACAAUGAGAUGAGGCGAUGAGACAAUGAGAUGAGGCGAUGAGAUCAUGCGAUGAGACAAUGAGAUGAGGCGAUGAGACCAUGCGAUGAGACCAUGCGAUGAGACAAUGAGAUGAGGCGAUGAGACAAUGAGAUGAGGCGAUGAGACUGUAAUAUGAGACUGUAAUAUGAGAUUGUAAUAUGAGAUUGCAAUAUGAGACUGCAUGCAUCGAUAUGAGGUACCUCAUGCAGCUACUGUAUUGGAGACUGGAGAUUCAGAAUUAUAUUUUAUCUGCUGCAGAGAAUCUAGUUUUUGAAGAGAGUUUUUAUUCGACACUUGUUGUCUGCAACUAACAGAUGAAGAAAGAAAGAAGACAAGAGAAACUUAAUUACAGAGUGACUCCUGGCUUUCUCCAUGUAAAUCAUUAAUUACAGACUAAGUCUCUUUCUAGCCACAUGCAGUAUCCAACAGGGUGGGGUUUGUCUAUUAUAUUUUCACUAUACGCUUGCAUUAAUAAAUAUUAAAUUAAAAAUUAGUUGCUUGCAAUUUUAAUAUUCUAUAGGUUAGGAAAAUUUGACUGAUCGGUACAAUUUAAAGUUAUUUGAAGACUCAAACAGCACACUCAAUCUUUGAUCAGUUUUCCUUUUCAAUGCAAUGAAAUAUGUGCGUGGAUGAAUGUGGCCAGGCUAUACAUACUGUACAAUAAUUUUCGUCUUCCAUGCAAUUGGUAAUUGACUAAUAAAAGUGAACUAUCCGCGUGGUGUUAUUAUGCCGCAUAUCAGAUGUUUUUUAUAAACUGAACUCUCAAUUUACAUUUACUAUGGAGAAACAAAAUUGCAACAAAAUGCCACAUUGUAGGCAAAUUAGCUAUAUUUCUAAUGAAUUAACUCUAUAAUACAACUUAAGCAGCGACAACGGUCAGUGGAUGGUCCGGCCAUUUAAUUUCUACAUUUCAAUUUCUAUGUUUUAUUUUUUAAUUUUCAAUUUUAUAUUUUAUUUUUGUAAAAUGGUUUUUCAUCUUGAUAUUUGAUUCUUGUGAUCUCUAGAUUUAUUUUGUUUUUACUUUACUUUCCGUCACGUGCCAAAUCAAGUUGGCUGCUCUUGGCUCUGACACACAACGUUUUGCCAG